AGAGUUUGAUCCUGGCUCAGGACGAACGCUGGCGGCGUGCUUAACACAUGCAAGUCGAGCGGUAAGGCCUUUCGGGGUACACGAGCGGCGAACGGGUGAGUAACACGUGGGUGAUCUGCCCUGCACUUCGGGAUAAGCCUGGGAAACUGGGUCUAAUACCGGAUAUGACCUCCUAUCGCAUGGUGGGUGGUGGAAAGAUUUAUCGGUGCAGGAUGGGCCCGCGGCCUAUCAGCUUGUUGGUGGGGUAAUGGCCUACCAAGGCGACGACGGGUAGCCGACCUGAGAGGGUGACCGGCCACACUGGGACUGAGACACGGCCCAGACUCCUACGGGAGGCAGCAGUGGGGAAUAUUGCACAAUGGGCGAAAGCCUGAUGCAGCGACGCCGCGUGAGGGAUGACGGCCUUCGGGUUGUAAACCUCUUUCAGCAGGGACGAAGCGCAAGUGACGGUACCUGCAGAAGAAGCACCGGCUAACUACGUGCCAGCAGCCGCGGUAAU
rnacentral:rRNA from 1 species